rnacentral:rRNA from 1 species
GACGAACGCUGGCGGCGUGCUUAACACAUGCAAGUCGUACGGUAAGGCCCUUUCGGGGGUACACGAGUGGCGAACGGGUGAGUAACACGUGAGUAACCUGCCCACAACUUUGGGAUAACGCUAGGAAACUGGUGCUAAUACUGGAUAUGUGCUCCUGCUGCAUGGUGGGGGUUGGAAAGCUCCGGCGGUUGUGGAUGGACUCGCGGCCUAUCAGCUUGUUGGUGGGGUAGUGGCCUACCAAGGCGGCGACGGGUAGCCGGCCUGAGAGGGUGACCGGCCACAGUGGGACUGAGAUACGGCCCAGACUCCUACGGGAGGCAGCAGUGGGGAAUAUUGCACAAUGGGCGCAAGCCUGAUGCAGCAACGCCGCGUGCGGGAUGACGGCCUUCGGGUUGGAAACCGCUUUCAGCAGGGACGAAGCUUUUUGUGACGGUACCUGCAGAAGAAGCACCGGCUAACUACGUG